rnacentral:rRNA from 1 species
AUUGAACGCUGGCGGCAGGCCUAACACAUGCAAGUCGAGCGGAGCGGCGGGCGGGUGAGUAAUGCCUAGGAAUCUGACUGGUAGUGGGGGAUAACGUCCGGAAACGGGCGCGAAUACCGCAUAGUAUCAGAUGAGCCUAGGGCGGAGUAGCUAGUGGGGGGGGUAAAGGCCUACCAAGGCGACGAUCCGUAACAGGUCUGAGAGGAUGACCAGUCACACUGGAACUGAGACACUGUCCAGACUCCUACGGGAGGCAGCAGUGGGGAAUAUAGGACAAUGGGCGAAAGCCUGAUCCAGCCAUGCCGCGUGUGUGAAGAAGGUCUUCGGAUUGUAAAGCACUUUAAGUUGGGAGGUGUUACCUACAGAAUAAGCACCGGCUAACUUCGUGCCAGCAGCCGCGGUAAUUC